rnacentral:rRNA from 1 species
AAGGAGAAGUCGUAACAAGGUUUCCGUAGGCGGAAGGAUCAUUGUCGUGACCCUGACCAACGAUCCCGACGUGAGUUCGUGGUGUCUUUUUUGGGGCAUCAUGGAUUCCGUUGGACCAUAACAAAACCCCGGCACGGUAUGUGCCAAGGAAAACAAAAAUAAGAAGGACACUACCUGUUUCGCCCCGUUUGCGGUGUGCGUACAGGUCGUGGCCUCCUUGGAAUCACAAACGACUCUCGGCAACGGAUAUCUCGGCUCACGCAUCGAUGAAGAACGUAGCAAAAUGCGAUACUUGGUGUGAAUUGCAGAAUCCCGUGAACCAUCGAGUUUUUGAACGCAAGUUGCGCCCGAAGCCAUCCGGCUGAGGGCACGCCUGCCUGGGCGUCACGCAUCGCGUCGCUCCCCACCAUACCUCCCCAACGGGUUGGCAUGGUGUUGGGGGCGGAUAAUGGCCUCCCGUGCUUGUGUUUCGGUUGGCCUAAAUAAGAGUUCCCUUCGGCGGACACACGACUAGUGGUGGUUGAAUAGACCCUCGUCUUUUGUUGCGUGUCGUGAGCUGUAAGGGUAGCCCUCAUCAAAGACCCCAUUGUAUCGUCUUCGGAUGAUGCUUCGACCGCGACCCCAGGUCAGGCGGGACUACCCGCUGAG